UUUUCAAAGAUUAGCUUUAUUUACAGUCUCACAACAUUCUUUAGACAUUUUGUCUAUAUUGAUUAAUGAAUAAUUAUAAACAAACGACUAGCAUGAGAAAAUUCUUCAGCUGUUGGAAGUACAACGAUUUUUUAUAUCAAUGACAUUUUCUCAUGCUGCUGGACUGGGUGGUAAAAACAGCUUUCCUACCUAUAAAUAAGGCUAGAGAUCAGAUCCUAAAUUCAGGUGAAUUGUGUUGGCUGAGCGCCUAAAGGCAGCACACAAACCUCCCAGAUACCACUGGUCCAUAGCGGACUAAGCAUGCUAUAAGCAUGAAAGUUGUAAAUAAAAAAGCAAUUUAAAAAUAAAGCUAAGAAAUAAUUUGACAUGGUUUAAGUAGACUUUAUUCUUUAAAGUUUUCAAUGUCUGAUAUAUAUAUAUAUAUUAGGUCCAAAUAGGAAGAAAAUUAUACUAUCUUGGACACAGCUUUAUUGAACCAGACAAUCAAAGCCUUAAUGCAAACAGCAAGACUGCCAUGAACAUUGUCUACCAUACAGCCAUCACCAAACACACCAAGAACUUUGUUUAGAGAAAGAAGGCAAAAAAAAAUUUUGUUAUGGUGCCCUAAUCAAAAUAUUUAAAAAUAAAAACAUUUGACCAUAAAAAAAAAAAAAAAAAAAAAAAAAAGAAAU